ACCAAAACAUCUUCAAAACAAAUAUCCUUUGUGAAAUGGAAAAGAAAGUAAUUGAAAAGUGGAUUUAAAUCGGAUGGCGAUAUUUGAAUUUCCGGUUUCUAAUCGAAACUUAAAAAACAUGGGCUCCGAUAAAUUAUAAAAUACAGAAGAUGUUCGUGAGAUGUUAGUUGUUUCGGAUUGAUGAAGACAGGUGAAUCAAAUAUACAUAAUAUGUAGUUCGAUCAUUGAAGCCUAGAAUCGUUGAGUUGUGCGCUGAGUUUUCCUGGAAAAUCUGCAUUCAGCUUACAGUGGACUCAAAAGUUAUCUGCACCUCAAAAUUGAAAAUCCCUACCCUCCUGGACGAAACUUUUUGAAACGCACUUUUCAUAUAAUUUCCAUAGUGAUAUCCUAAUUCGUCAAGCCGAGUCCAACCAGAAGCAUAACAAAAGCAAUGAAGCUUCAUCCUAAAAUCGAUGAAUGAGUUUUGGAGAUAAAUAUUUGAAUAUUCAGUUUGAUCAACGAUCUGAAUACAGAAACCAGAUAUAAGAUUUUUAGUUACAAAUCAAUUCACAGGAUGCUUUUCACGGUCGAAGAUAGAAGGUGUUAUAAACAAUUCGUGAAGUGUAUAUUGUCAGCUAAUGAAGAAAUCUCCUAUAAUAAAUAUUUUUUUAAAUAAAAAUUGUUACCAUUAUAUUGUACCAAA